rnacentral:rRNA from 1 species
UACGUAGGGUGCGAGCGUUGUCCGGAAUUACUGGGCGUAAAGAGCUCGUAGGUGGUUUGUCGCGUUGUUCGUGAAAACCGGGGGCUUAACCCUCGGCGUGCGGGCGAUACGGGCAGACUUGAGUACUGCAGGGGAGACUGGAAUUCCUGGUGUAGCGGUGAAAUGCGCAGAUAUCAGGAGGAACACCGGUGGCGAAGGCGGAUCUCUGGGCCUUGCCUGACGCUGAGGCGCGAAAGCUAGGGGAGCGAACAGG